rnacentral:rRNA from 1 species
ACUAGGAAUUUUGCGCAAUGGGGGCAACCCUGACGCAGCGACACAGCGUGGAGGAGGAAGGUCUUCGGAUUGUAAACUCCUUUUAUAUGGGAAGAAUAGAUGACUGUACCAUAUGAAUAAGCACCUGCUAACUACGUGCCAGAAGCAUCGGUGAUGCGUAGGGUGCGAACGUUAUCCGGAUUUAUUGGGCGUAAAGAGAUGCGUAGGCGUUUCAGUUAGUCUUUCGUUAAAAGUCACGGCUUAACCGUGAAGAUGCGUUGGAUACUGCUGAAAUUGAGACAUGAAGGGGUGAACGGAACUCCAAGUGGAGCGGUGAAAUGCGUUGAUAUUUGGAAGAACAUCAGAGGCGAAGGCGGUUCACUGGUCAUUGUCUGACGCUAAGGCUCGAAAGCGUGGGUAGCAAAACGGAUUAGAUACCCUAGUAGUCC